AAAGUCGUAACAAGGUUUCCGUAGGUGAACCUGCGGAAGGAUCAUUACAGUAGUCACCUAGGUUGCCGCAAGGCCUCCUGGGUAACCUACCACCCUUUGUUUAUUACACUUUGUUGCUUUGGCAAGCCUGCCCUCAGGCUGCUGGCUCCGGCUGGCGAGCGCUUGCUAGAGGACCUAAACUCUGUUUGUCUAUACUGUCUGAGUACUAUAUAAUAGUUAAAACUUUCAACAACGGAUCUCUUGGUUCUG
rnacentral:misc_RNA from 1 species